rnacentral:rRNA from 1 species
CCUACGGGGGGCUGCAGUGGGGAAUAUUGGACAAUGGGGGCAACCCUGAUCCAGCCAUGCCGCGUGUGUGAAGAAGGCCCUCGGGUUGUAAAGCACUUUCAGUGAGGAAGAACGCCUGGUGGUUAAUACCCAUCAGGAAAGACAUCACUCACAGAAGAAGCACCGGCUAACUCCGUGCCAGCAGCCGCGGUAAUACGGAGGGUGCAAGCGUUAAUCGGAAUUACUGGGCGUAAAGCGCGCGUAGGUGGCUUGAUAAGCCGGUUGUGAAAGCCCCGGGCUCAACCUGGGAACGGCAUCCGGAACUGUCAAGCUAGAGUGCAGGAGAGGAAGGUAGAAUUCCCGGUGUAGCGGUGAAAUGCGUAGAGAUCGGGAGGAAUACCAGUGGCGAAGGCGGCCUUCUGGACUGACACUGACACUGAGGUGCGAAAGCGUGGGUAGCAAACAGGAUUAGAUACCCUUGUAGUC